GAAUUCGCCCUUAGAGUUUGAUCCUGGCUCAGGACGAACGCUGGCGGCGCGCCUAACACAUGCAAGUCGAACGGAGCUUAGAGAGCUUGCUUUUUAAGCUUAGUGGCGAACGGGUGAGUAACGCGUGAGUAACCUGCCCUAGAGUGGGGGACAACAGUUGGAAACGACUGCUAAUACCGCAUAAGCCCACGGUACCGCAUGGUACUGAGGGAAAAGGAUUUAUUCGCUUUAGGAUGGACUCGCGUCCAAUUAGCUAGUUGGUGAGGUAACGGCCCACCAAGGCGACGAUUGGUAGCCGGACUGAGAGGUAGAACGGCCACAUUGGGACUGAGACACGGCCCAGACUCCUACGGGAGGCAGCAGUGGGGGAUAUUGCACAAUGGGGGAAACCCUGAUGCAGCGACGCCGCGUGGAGGAAGAAGGUUUUCGGAUUGUAAACUCCUGUCGUUAGGGACGAUAAUGACGGUACCUAACAAGAAAGCACCGGCUAACUACGUGCCAGCAGCCGCGGUAAAACGUAGGGUGCAAGCGUUGUCCGGAAUUACUGGGUGUAAAGGGAGCGCAGGCGGGAAGACAAGUUGGAAGUGAAAACCAUGGGCUCAACCCAUGAAUUGCUUUCAAAACUGUUUUUCUUGAGUAGUGCAGAGGUAGAUGGAAUUCCCGGUGUAGCGGUGGAAUGCGUAGAUAUCGGGAGGAACACCAGUGGCGAAGGCGGUCUACUGGGCACCAACUGACGCUGAGGCUCGAAAGCAUGGGUAGCAAACAGGAUUAGAUACCCUGGUAGUCCAUGCCGUAAACGAUGAUUACU
rnacentral:rRNA from 1 species